GUUGUAGAACAGCCACCGCUCCUCUUCCAUGAACUUCUGCCAGGCAGAAAACUUGAAUAACAAACAGUGUUCAUGCACAUUCUCAGUGAGAUUGAUUUAGUAAUUAAGAUGCAACUAAAGAGUACUCCCUCCGUCCCAAAAUAUAAGAACGUUUCUAACACUAGCAUAGUAUCAAGAACGUUCUUAUAUUCUAGGACAGAGGAAGUAAAAGAAACAAACAGAUUGCCACAAAGUCAUUGCCAAGUCCCAAGCCCCCUCUUGGGUGAUAGACAAAUGAAGUAUAAAACAAGCACAACAGCAGGUUUACAUCCGGUUGCAGAACAGCCACCACUCUUCUUCCAUGAACUUCUGCCAGGCAGAAAACUUGAAUAGCAAACAGUGUUCAUGCACAUUCUCAGCGAGAUUGAUGGAAAGUAAUUAAGAUGCAACUAAAGAGUAAAAGAAACAAACGAAUUGCCACAAAGUCAUUGCCAAGUCCCAAGCCCCCUCUUGGGUGAUAGACAAAUGAAGUCUAAAACAAGCACAACAGCAGGUUCAUCUUACAGUCUUGAGCAAAGAUAAGAUACUGGAUUUCUUAGAUACCACAAUUAUAAAGUAGUCUUUAGCCUAGAGGACUCGGCUUUUGAAGGAAUGGCUCCGGCCGCACGUAACUGAACCCCACGAAGUUGCUAUCUGCAGCAACAGGGCUGGCCACGGGAGAGUCCAGCACCGGCAUACUCGUCCAGCACUCGUCAAAGUUUGCAAUGCAGGUCUGCCCAGCAACAUUUGGGCAGAAGCUUGGCUUGAUCUGUCGAGCCUCUAGUUUCUUCCAGUUCACUGCCUUGAACCACUUGUGGUUCUUUAUUUCGUCACUGCCGCCCGGUCCACUUCCAAGUCGCCUGCCAGCUUCU
rnacentral:lncRNA from 1 species